UCUGACUNGAGUGCAGAAGGGGAGAGUGGAAUUCCAUGUGUAGCGGUGAAAUGCGUAGAUAUAUGGAGGAACACCAGUGGCGAAAGCGGCUCUNUGGUCUGUCACUGACGCUGAGGCUCGAAAGCGUGGGUAGCGAACAGGAUUAGAUACCCUGGUAGUCCACGCCGUAAACGAUGAGUGCUAGGUGUUAGGCCCUUUCCGGGGCUUAGUGCCGGAGCUAACGCAAUAAGCACUCCGCCUGGGGAGUACGACCGCAAGGUUGAAACUCAAAGGAAUUGACGGGGGCCCGCACAAGCGGUGGAGCAUGUGGUUUAAUUCGAAGCAACGCGAAGAACCUUACCAGGUCUUGACAUCCCGAUGCUAUUCUUAGAGAUAGGAAGUUACUUCGGUACAUCGGAGACAGGUGGUGCAUGGUUGUCGUCAGCUCGUGUCGUGAGAUGUUGGGUUAAGUCCCGCAACGAGCGCAACCCUUAUUGUUAGUUGCCAUCAUUGAGUUGGGCACUCUAGCGAGACUGCCGGUAAUAAACCGGAGGAAGGUGGGGAUGACGUCAAAUCAUCAUGCCCCUUAUGACCUGGGCUACACACGUGCUACAAUGGUCGGUACAACGAGUUGCGAGCCGGUGACGGCAAGCUAAUCUCUGAAAGCCGAUCUCAGUUCGGAUUGGAGGCCGCAACUCGCCUCCAUGAAGUCGGAAUCGCUAGUAAUCGCGGAUCAGCACGCCGCGGUGAAUACGUUCCCGGGCCUUGUACACACCGCCCGUCACACCACGAGAGUUUGUANCACCCGA
rnacentral:rRNA from 1 species